CUCCUGGAAACGGGUGGUAAUGCCGGAUGUUCCACAUGAGCGCAUGCGAGUGUGGGAAAGGCUUUUUGCGGCAUGGGAUGGGGUCGCGUCCUAUCAGCUUGUUGGUGGGGUAACGGCCUACCAAGGCGUUGACGGGUAGCCGGCCUGAGAGGGCGACCGGCCACAUUGGGACUGAGAUACGGCCCAUACUCCUACGGGAGGCAGCAGUGGGGAAUAUUGCACAAUGGGCGCAAGCCUGAUGCAGCGACGCCGCGUGGGGUAUGGAGGCCUUCGGGUUGUAAACCGCUUUUGUUCAAGGGCAAGGCACGGUUUCGGCCGUGUUGAGUGGAUUGUUCGAAUAAGCACCGGCUAACUACGUGCCAGCAGCCGCGGUAAUACGUAGGGUGCAAGCGUUAUCCGGAUUUAUUGGGCGUAAAGGGCUCGUACGCGGUUCGUCGCGUCCGGUGUGAUAGUCCAUCGCUUAACGGAGGAUCCGCGCCGCGUACCGGUGGGCUUGAGUGCGGUAGGCACAGACUGGAAUUCUCGGUGUAAACAUGCAAUGUGUACCAUAUCGUUUACAAGACC
rnacentral:rRNA from 1 species